rnacentral:tRNA from 1 species
AGAAAAACAGGGCUUGAACCUGCACCUAACAACUCAAAAUCAUUUGCACUUCAUUGUACUAUUUUCUA